GGACGGAUUGAGUUCUCAGAGUUUAUUCAGGCCCUGUCUGUGACCUCACGUGGGACCUUGGAUGAAAAGCUCCGCUGGGCCUUCAAGCUUUAUGAUCUUGAUAACGAUGGCUACAUCACACGUGAUGAAAUGCUCAAUAUCGUAGAUGCCAUCUAUCAGAUGGUGGGAAACACAGUGGACCUUCCAGAAGAAGAAAACACGCCGGAGAAGAGAGUGGAUCGUAUUUUUGCCAUGAUGGAUAAGAAUACUGAUGGGAAGCUGACCCUGCAGGAGUUCCAGGAGGGAUCAAAGGCAGAUCCCUCUAUUGUACAAGCUCUGUCACUCUACGAUGGCCUUGUAUAGUAGCAGUCUCUUGUCUUAAAGAUACAGGUACGGCAAAGGAUCCAGUGCGGUGCCAUCCCACAAUGCAAUUCAAGGAGAUGAGUCUUCGUCGUUUGACCUCUCAUUCUGGACACU